UAGGUUGGUCUGACAAGUUGUCAAAACUGU
rnacentral:piRNA from 1 species